AGACGACGCUGGCGGCGUGGAUUAGGCAUGCAAGUCGAACGGUAUCAUCCUUCGGGGGUGAGAGAGCGGCGAACUGGUGAGUAACACGUAGGUUAUCUACCCUCAAGACGGGGACAACCCAGGGAAACUUGGGCUAAUACCGGAUGUGAGCAACUUUUAGUGUUUGAAAGGUGGCGUAAGCUGUCGCUUGGGGAUGAGCCUGCGUCCUAUUAGUUAGUUGGUGAGGUAACGGCUCACCUAGGCAAUGAUAGGUAGGCGGCCUUAACGGGUGGUCGCCCACACUGGGAUUGAGAUACGGCCCAGACUCCUACGGGAGGCAGCAGUCGAGAAUAGUCUACAAUGGUCGGAAGACUGAUAGUGCGACGCCGCGUGAACGAUGAAUCCCUUCGGGGUGUAAAGUUCUUUUAUAUGUGAGCAGUGCUUCUUAUAUUAACAGUAUGGGGAGAGAGAUAUUAGCAUAUGAAUAAGCAACGGCUAACUCCGUG
rnacentral:rRNA from 1 species